rnacentral:piRNA from 1 species
AAAUCUUAGAAAUCUUACCCCCUUUCCCUCUUG